rnacentral:rRNA from 1 species
AUUGAACGCUGGCGGCAUGCUUUACACAUGCAAGUCGAACGGCAGCGCGGGCUUCGGCCUGGCGGCGAGUGGCGAACGGGUGAGUAAUGCAUCGGAACGUGCCCAGUAGUGGGGGAUAGCCCGGCGAAAGCCGGAUUAAUACCGCAUACGACCUGAGGGUGAAAGCGGGGGACCGAAAGGCCUCGCGCUAUUGGAGCGGCCGAUGUCGGAUUAGCUAGUUGGUGGGGUAAAGGCUUACCAAGGCGACGAUCCGUAGCUGGUCUGAGAGGACGACCAGCCACACUGGGACUGAGACACGGCCCAGACUCCUACGGGUGGCAGCAGUGGGGAAUUUUGGACAAUGGGGGCAACCCUGAUCCAGCCAUGCCGCGUGCGGGAAGAAGGCCUUCGGGUUGUAAACCGCUUUUGUUCGGGAAGAAAUCCUCUGGGCUAAUACCCCGGGGGGAUGACGGUACCGGAAGAAUAAGCACCGGCUAACUACGUG